UACGUAGGGCGCAAGCGUUAUCCGGAAUUAUUGGGCGUAAAGAGCUCGUAGGCGGUUUGUCGCGUCUGCUGUGAAAACUGGAGGCUCAACCUCCAGCCUGCAGUGGAUACGGGCAGGCUAGAGGUAGGUAGGGGAGAAUGGAAUUCCCGGUGUAGCGGUGAAAUGCGCAGAUAUCGGGAGGAACACCGGUGGCGAAGGCGGUUCUCUGGGCCUUACCUGACGCUGAGGAGCGAAAGCGUGGGGAGCGAACAGG
rnacentral:rRNA from 1 species